GGCGCGCGCUCGCGACGUGCCUCCCGGGCUGUGGACCCGGGGAGCGCGCGCCCCAAUAGGGGGCGGCUUCAGCGCUUCCCGGUAGCUCUCAGACAAAAGGCGGGGGCGGGCAAGGCAUCGCGUUACCGUUGAGCCGGACAGUGAACUGGCGGCGCCGACGGUCGUGCUCCACGCGGAUCGGGUGCUGUUGCCCAAACAUUGCUUCCUUUGGGAAGCCCUAACUGAUGCUCCUCAGUCAGCCUGGGUCCAGAGGACAUUCCCCCUCUUCUGGUCCCUGGCAGGACACAGUGCAAGCCAAGCCCAGCAUGAGAGCCCAGGAUCCUCCCUGUUUUUGACUCCCUUCUUUGUCUCCUACUUUAAAAUAAAUGUCUAUUAGCUUAUUAGGGUCUUUGAAACUUUCAGAAAUCCUUUGUGGAACAAGGCAGUGUAUCUGUCAAUAAAGCGAGUGAUUAAUGUUUGCUGAA